rnacentral:rRNA from 1 species
UCGAUCUCAAAUCAGGUAGGACUACCCGCUGAACUUAAGCAUAUCAAUAAGCGGAGGAAAAGAAACUAACAAGGAUUCCCCUAGUAACUGCGAGUGAAGCGGGAAGAGCUCAAAUUUAAAAUCUGGCAUGCCUCUGGCUGUCCGAGUUGUAGUCUGGAGAAGUGUUUUCCGUGUUGGACCGUGUAUAAGUCUCUUGGAACAGGGCGUCAUAGAGGGUGAGAAUCCCGUCUUUGACACGGACUACCAAUGCUUUGUGAUGCGCUCUCAAAGAGUCGAGUUGUUUGGGAAUGCAGCUCAAAAUGGGUGGUAAAUUCCAUCUAAAGCUAAAUAUAGGCGAGAGACCGAUAGCGAACAAGUACCGUGAGGGAAAGAUGAAAAGCACUUUGGAAAGAGAGUUAAACAGUACGUGAAAUUGCUGAAAGGGAAACGCUUGAAGUCAGUCGUGUCUGCCAGGACUCAGCCUUGCUUCUGCUUGGUGUACUUUCUGGUCGGAUGGGCCAACAUCAAUUUUGACCGUUGGAGAAAGGCCUUGGGAAUGUGGCACCUUCGGGUGUGUUAUAGCCCUUUGUUGUAUACAACGGUUGGGAUUGAGGACUGCAGCACGCCUUUAUGGCCGGGGUUCGCCUACGUACGUG